AUCAAUUAAUCAGCUAGAAGUGGCUUGAAAAGUUUUUCGAGUAAUUCACUCUUAAUAAAUUAUGAGGUUUAUGCGACUGUGUGUGUUAAGUUAUUACUGCGUUAUAAUCAGUUUAUUUGCUUUCACACAAUACAAUAGGAAGUCGUGAAUUAUGUUAUAACAGACUUAUAUAGAAUAAAUAAGUAUUCAUAAAAAAAUGCUGAGCUAAUUUGUACAGAGUAAUUACAUAAAAAGGAAUAAUAGAUCCAACAUCAGGAAUAAUCAAAUUAAGUCAUAUGUUUAACACUUUGUCAUUAAAACAUUUACCAAGAUCGCUCGAUUUAAUUCAUAUUUGUAUUUCUAACUCAAACUUAAAUCCAACAAUUGAAAUGAAAAAAGGGUGCCGAAAAAUUCUCAUCGAGGUCGCAAAAGAUGUGAAACAAAAAUUAUUUGUUGAACAGUACCAGUUUCGAGACUGCAGUCGAAGAACGCGAAAUUUAAAGCGCAGAAAACGGAAAAUUCUUCCAGGUGACUCAUAUUUUGAGGGGUUUACGAAAAUAGAAUGUAGAGGGAGUUAG